rnacentral:rRNA from 1 species
UCUUGGUCAAUUUAGAGGAAGUAAAAGUCGUAACAAGGUUUCCGUAGGUGAACCUGCGGAAGGAUCAUUACAGAGUUCAUGCCCGAAAGGGUAGACCUCCCACCCUUGUGUAUUAUUACUUUGUUGCUUUGGCGAGCUGCCUUCGGGCCUUGUAUGGUCGCCAGAGAAUACCAAAACUCUUUUUAUUAAUGUCGUCUGAGUACUAUAUAAUAGUUAAAACUUUCAACAACGGAUCUCUUGGUUCUGGCAUCGAUGAAGAACGCAGCGAAAUGCGAUAAGUAAUGUGAAUUGCAGAAUUCAGUGAAUCAUCGAAUCUUUGAACGCACAUUGCGCCCCUUGGUAUUCCGGGGGGCAUGCCUGUUCGAGCGUCAUUUCAACCCUCAAGCUUAGCUUGGUAUUGAGUCUAUGUCAGUAAUGGCAGGCUCUAAAAUCAGUGGCGGCGCCGCUGGGUCCUGAACGUAGUAAUAUCUCUCGUUACAGGUUCUCGGUGUGCUUCUGCCAAAACCCAAAUUUUU